UACGAAGGGUGCAAGCGUUGCUCGGAAUCACUGGGCGUAAAGCGCACGUAGGCGGACUCUUAAGUCGGUGGUGAAAUCCUGGAGCUCAACUCCAGAACUGCCUUCGAUACUGAGAGUCUCGAGUCCGAGAGAGGUGAGUGGAACUGCGAGUGUAGAGGUGAAAUUCGUAGAUAUUCGCAAGAACACCAGUGGCGAAGGCGGCUCACUGGCUCGGUACUGACGCUGAGGUGCGAAAGCGUGGGGAGCAAACAGG
rnacentral:rRNA from 1 species